rnacentral:lncRNA from 1 species
GUAAGCGACACCUUAGUCUUUGUUUAGUGAAGAAAAGUGAAAAGAUGUAGGUGUCUGUCUGUCUUUAUCUCUGGCAAGCACUGCUCCUGCUCUCUGACUGUGAGUGAGUGCUGAGCGGAAGAGGAAAUAGUUCCUGUCCUGCACAGCUAUACAGCUCAUUUAUUUCAUUUCGACACUUGUGAUGUGCGGUUACUUAUUUCCAAGCCAACCUGCUAUUUUAAAAACUACUUUGAAAGAAGCAUUUAUAAUCGAUAUGAUAGCACGAGGAUCUAUCCUGAUGAAUGAAGGAAUCAGAGUAUCGCGGUUUGAAGAUCCCUCCGCCGCCCAGCUGCACUAACUCCAGCAGCGGCGACUCACACUCACAGAGCCUGCUCACGCUGCACUCCUCCGCGUGUGAGCGUGUCUACUCUCCCGCUUAAAAACAACCCUCAAACCCACCCGAGAGGCUCAAACAAGACUCUGCUCUGCUGAAGUCGAUAGCUGUGCGUGUGGUGACUAAAUAUGAAGGCCAAGCUUCAUUCCGACGGGCCUCAGAGUUGCUCCAACAGCGACGAGGAGGAGACGGACAGCCUCAGCGACAGCCAGUAUAUCGUUGUCAAGCUUGAAGAUGAAGAGGAAGAUCCAGAAACCGAGAUGGAUCUGAGUAUAUUCGCUCCUGUCGAGUCCUCGGAGUGUGAGGAGGAGGAAGAGGAUGAAGGGGAGCUCUCAGAGUCGUCCAGUGUUUCUAGCUGGAGAAGGACAGACACCAGAGAGAGAGAUAACCCGGAGGAUCCAGCGCCCCUUGAGCAACAGUCUUCCAGGAGGUGUUUAAAAGGACAGCGACGGAGCCGACAGACCUUUCUGGCUGCGCAGAGACACAAGCAGAGUCUGGACUGUAGUGCAGCAAGCAGGGCCGUGAAUGUCGGACUCCCGUCUGAGAAUCACACAUUUUGCCAAGCUGCUCCUCCGUUUGAUUCAGCCCGAGGUCCUGUAGAGACGUCUGGACUGGACACAGCAAUCAGCCCUUUAGCUGCCAUGGAGCCUCCUGUAUUUCCAAAUGCACCAGUACAGAGCACAUCUGUCGUCGGGGAGGAUCAGCAGAAUAUACUACUCGAGGUCCUGAACCAUUGUAGGUUCCUGCAUGCAGCAGUGCAGAGGCUUGAGCAGAAGAUUGACAGACAGAUGUCAAAUGAGCCAUUAUAUGAAAAAAGCUCAGAGAUGCUGAAGAAUGGUCCAAAGAGAAGGGCGUCUCUGCGUGUUGAAGAAAGGCAGCUGUCCUGGUCUUUGGCCCAGAGACUUGAUCCACCAGUCCAGAGAAACCCACGCUGGAUCCCUCCCUGGAAACGAGGGCUGGACAGGGCGGAUCUUCAGCAGGCUGACAACAGCAGCCCUCAGCCGGGCAAACCUCCUGGCGGCGGACGAGGCAGAGGCAGGGGCAGAGGACGGGGUCGCAGGGGGCGCGGUAACGGAUCCCAGCGCCAGUCUCAAACUCCUGAUCCUGCUUCACUCAUGUCAAAGCCCAAUGGAGAAGAGGUCUGCACUGCAUCCACAGAUGACCCCCAGCCGUCCCAGGUAAUGAAGGACAGCUCUCCGGCUAACACAGGCUCAAAGCUUCAGCAGAAAAGAAAGAAAUCCUUUACUCAGGUGGACGGGGAGGAUGAAAAUGAACUGGAGAAGAUGCCCAAGAGUAAAGAGGCCACACUCGAAGUUCAGGUUGACAGCAAAGUAAUGAUCGGAAGCCCCUUGAGGAAGGUGUGGAUCCCGCUGUCUGUGUACAAGGAGGUGUUUAAGGAGCUGGAGCCCCAGAAGGCUGUAGUGCCUGUGCUUUACGCUCUCUUCCCCAUCAGCACUCUGUCCUGCAGUGCCGUCACAGGAAACCCUGCAAAAGGCAUCCAGCAACUCGACCCCAACAAAAUAGAAGCCCUUCGAGAGUUUCUUGCUGAGAUGUACCCACAGUUUGACGUCGGCGUGAGGGGCGUGUCGUGGGCACAGUGUCUUGGAGUGAUAAACAACAUCACCAAAGACCUCAAGAAACAAGCGGAAAAAACAUCACAUCGGCCAACAGAGGUCGGUUACACAAGAAAUGAUUGUUCAUACUCUUGAGGAUCUGACACUCAUACUGAAUGUGCAACGAUGUAACCAGUUUUAUUCACUUCAAUCAAUCGUCUGAACUGAUACAGUGUUCAUAACUGAAGUGCAAGUCCCUGUUUUGACAACAGCUGUCUUUUGUUCUCUCUUCUAUAGCUGCUAAGUUUCAAUGGAGAGAAAGGUUUUGGAUGUGUAAUAUAUUAACAAUUCCUUUAUUCUUAAUAAAUCCAUAUAUUAACCUUUUUUUUUUUUUUGUUUGUUUAAACAUCUAUAUAUUAAUGUACAUUUUAU